rnacentral:rRNA from 1 species
GUGUGAAUUGCAGAAUCCCGUGAACCAUCGAGUCUUUGAACGCAAGUUGCGCCCAAAGSCUUCUGGUUGAGGGCACGUCUGSCUGGGUGUCACAC